UUCCGGUUGAUCCUGCCGGACCCGACUGCUAUCAGAGUAGGACUAAGCCAUGCGAGUCGACGUAGCAAUGCGUGGCGAACGGCUCAGUAACACGUAGUCAACAUGCCCAGGGGACGUGGAUAACCUCGGGAAACUGAGAAUAAACCGCGAUAGGUCAUGAUUUCUGGAAUGGAUCAUGGCUCAAAUCUACAUGGCCCCUGGAUUGGACUGCGGCCGAUCAGGCAGUGGUGAGGUAAAGGCCCACCAAACCUAUAACCGGUACGGGCUCUGAGAGGAGAAGCCCGGAGAUGGACACUGAGAGAAGGGUCCAGGUCCUACGGGGCGCAGCAGGCGCGAAACCUUCGCAAUGCGCGAAAGCGUGACGAGGUUAAUCCGAGUGACUCCCGCUGAGGGGGUCUUUUGUCAGCGGUAAAUAGGCAGGCGAAUAAGGGGAGGGCAAGCCUGGUGUCAGCCGCCGCGGUAAUACCAGCUCCUCGAGUGGUCGGGGCGAUUAUUGGGCCUAAAGCAUCCGUAGCCGGUUCCGUAGGUCCUCUGUUAAAUCCAACCGCUUAACGGUUGACCUGCAGAGGAUACCGCGGGACUAGGAGGCGGGAGAGGCGGACGGUACUCCGCGUGUAGGGGUAAAAUCCUUUGAUCCGCGGAAGACCACCAGUUGCGAAGGCGGUCCGCCAGAACGCGCUCGACGGUGAGGGAUGAAAGCUGGGGGAGCGAACCGGAUUAGAUACCCGGGUAGUCCCAG
rnacentral:rRNA from 1 species